rnacentral:rRNA from 1 species
AUUUGAACGCUGGCGGCAGGCCUAACACCUGCAAGUCGAACGGUAACAGGAAGAAGCUUGCUUCUUUGCUGACGAGUGGCGGACGGGUGAGUAAAGUCUGGGAAACUGCCUGAUGGAGGGGGAUAACUACUGGAAACGGUAGCUAAUACCGCAUAACGUCGCAAGACCAAAGAGGGGGACCUUCGGGCCUCUUGCCAUCGGAUGUGCCCAGAUGGGAUUAGCUAGUAGGUGGGGUAACGGCUCACCUAGGCGACGAUCCCUAGCUGGUCUGAGAGGAUGACCAGCCACACUGGAACUGAGACACGGUCCAGACUCCUACGGGAGGCAGCAGUGGGGAAUAUUGCACAAUGGGCGCAAGCCUGAUGCAGCCAUGCCGCGUGUAUGAAGAAGGCCUUCGGGUUGUAAAGUACUUUCAGCGGGGAGGAAGGGAGUAAAGUUAAUACCUUUGCUCAUUGACGUUACCCGCAGAAGAAGCACCGGCUAACUCCGUG